UGGGGAAUAUUGCACAAUGGGCGCAAGCCUGAUGCAGCGACGCCGCGUGAGGGAUGACGGCCUUCGGGUUGUAAACCUCUUUCAGUAGGGAAGAAGCGAAAGUGACGGUACCUGCAGAAGAAGCACCGGCUAACUACGUGCCAGCAGCCGCGGUAAUACGUAGGGUGCGAGCGUUAUCCGGAAUUAUUGGGCGUAAAGAGCUAGUAGGCGGUUUGUCGCGUCUGUCGUGAAAGUCCGGGGCUUAACGCCGGAUCUGCGGUGGGUACGGGGAGACUAGAGUGCAGUAGGGGAGACUGGAAUUCCUGGUGUAGCGGUGGAAUGCGCAGAUAUCAGGAGGAACACCGAUGGCGAAGGCAGGUCUCUGGGCUGUAACUGACGCUGAGGAGCGAAAGCAUGGGGAGCGAACA
rnacentral:rRNA from 1 species